rnacentral:rRNA from 1 species
AUUGAACGCUGGCGGCAGGCUUAACACAUGCAAGUUGAGCGGAGAUGAGGUGCUUGCACCUUAUCUUAGCGGCGGACGGGUGAGUAAUGCUUAGGAAUCUGCCUAUUAGUGGGGGACAACAUUCCGAAAGGAAUGCUAAUACCGCAUACGCACUACGGGGGAAAGCAGGUGAUCUUCGGACCUUGCGCUAAUAGAUGAGCCUAAGGCGGAUUAGCUAGUUGGUGGGGUAAAGGCCUACCAAGGGGACGAUCUGUAGCGGGUCUGAGAGGGUGAUCCGCCACACUGGGACUGUGACACGGCCCAAACUCCUUCGGGAGGCAGCAGUGGGGAAUAUUGGACAAUGGGCGGAAGCCUGAUCCAGCCAUGCCGCGUGUGUGAAGAAGGCCUUUUGGUUGUAAAGCACUUUAAGCGAGGAGGAGGCUACCUGGAUUAACACUCUAGGAUAGUGGACGUUACUCGCAGAAUAAGCACCGGCUAACUCUGUGCCAGCCGCCGCCGUAACAC